GAGACCUGUGGGAAGAGGCAGAGAACGCCCUGGGACUGGGAAGACAGCUGACUGGCAGGGACAAGCAGUCAUUCACACGGAAGUUAUGUGCGCCUGCGCAAAGAGCUUGGGGAAAAUCACCUUGGAGUGGCCAUUUUGUAUGGCUCUGACUUUUCAACACAUCCACAGGUCACCAUGUGUUUCAAGCAUUUCAGGCUACAAGGAAAGCUCUGUGCACAGACUCGGGAAAGCCUUGGCAUUGGCCACAUGACUCCCAGACGACUUGGGCCCUUGACAGAGAAGUGGGGCCUGUAGCAGGAUCUCAACCCAGGCCACCUCACCCGGAAACACUGCCUGGCAGGAAUCCACCCUGCCAGGGAGCCAGCUGCCUGCCUCUCACUAGCUGUCCCUGCCCACAGGGCUGAGUCCGGGAGGUGCUACACACCUGUAACCCGGGCACUUCGGGAGGAUCAGAAGUUCAAGGUCAUCCCCAAAUACAUAGCAAAUUCAAGGCCAGACUGAGCUAAUUGAGAUCCUGCCGUAAAAUAAAAUAAAAUAAAAUAAAAUAAAAUAAAAUAAAAUAAAAUAAAAUAAAAUAAAGUAAAAUAGCAGGGCUGGCAAGAUGGCUCCAUCGGUAAAGGCAUUUGCCACCAAGGCUGAUGCCCUUAGUUCAAUCCCAGAGACCCAGUAGGAGAAAACUGACUCUGAAAGCACUCCCAUCUCUUUGUCUCUCUAUCUCUCUGUCUCUCUCUGUCUCUGUCUCACACACACAGAGGAAAUUAAUAUUGUAUUUUUUGUUUUUAAUACUCCAUUAAUGUUUUUUAAUAUUAAAAAAUCAUAAAGCAAGGGGAAAAUGGUUGUCAGCCUUACAGGUAUCUGGAAAGUGACAGAGUACUAGGAAACAUGCUCCCAACCCCACAGUGAAAUACACAGUGUGUCCAGCACAAGUGUCUGGGGUUGGGGCCCCAUUUGGAAAUGAGCUUUUGCACAUGGGUUGUGUUCAGAUGAGGUCAUUAGCUUGUCAAGUCUGGUCAGUGUCCUUACAAGAAAAGGAACUGAGGCAGAGACACACACUGGAGGGAACAUCAUGUGUGGAUGGGGCUGGAAUAAUGCAAGUAGCAGGCCCAGAGACAGUGGUAACUUCACAACGGGACCCUGAGACAGCGUGCCCCACAGACACUUUAACUUCAGACUUCUCUUGCCUCCAGAAACCUGAGGACACUGGGGGUCCCCCGCCCCCCGCAGCCCUUGUGGUGGUUUGUUCAUGCAGCCACAGGAUUUGUGCUAAGAAGCCCAGGCCACCUUCCUUGAAGACAGUUCCCACACACAUUUCUUCUGCAGAUACCCCAAUCUUUUUUGUGUCUUCUCAUUUUCCUACCCUUCAAAGCCCUGGCCAGUCUCCGGACCCCAGGGAGGGUUUGGAACACCCCAGCCUUGUUCUGAACACCAGUUAUACGGACAGGCACCAAAUAACCAAUCACGAGCUCCUUCCUAACUCCAGGGAAGAAAGUGUGUCCCAGUUUGGAGACCUUCAUGACCUCCUCUCCUCCCCCACAUACACAGCCUCAUGAGACAAUUGGUAAUAUUCUAGAACACGGAACAAAAUGACAGAGUCAGACGUCUGCAAUUCCUCCAGGUUUCGGGGGGCGGGUCUCCUGGAGGCCUUCUCUACAGGGAUGAACAGAGAGUCCACCUCCAGGAGAGUUAGACCACCAACUAUUCAUCCUUCCAUCAACAGCAGGACAGAGGAACCAAAAGACACGGAUGAGCUAGCCCUUCACAACAGGGGCUGGAAGGAAGACGGCCUGAGAAGGGCACCCCCUUGUGAUCCUCAGUCUCUCAUCUAUGAAACAGAGGUUCCAGCUCCAUGCUGAUGUUUAUGAUCUGCAAGAGAUCACAGGCAGGCACUCAGUGGGCACACCAAGCCCUUUUACCUAGUGUUACGACCUCCAUGCAGAAGCUGAAAACCCUUCACCCUUGGUUCAUGACAAAGGCCUAGAUAUCAAAGAUGACAAAGGCCUUCAUCUGAGCCAUCAGGAUACCAGGAGAGCUAGGAACCCGGGAGGGGCCAUGAAGGAAGAUAUAUGGAAGCUUCUCACAAUAACCCAGUCCAGACACAAACCAGCCUCAGUCAUGUUGUGUGUUAACAUCAUGGGAGCACCAUCCAAAACAGUGACAGCGACUAUCAGGAAUGAGAAAUGGACACCAAGAUUGCUGAAUGGUGCCCGAGUCUCCCUGUACUUGGCCUGAGUGGAAGACAUGUGCACAAACAAUGGGUGCCACUUGAGGGCAGAAUUCCUGUGACCUGGGGCUCCUGAGCUACCUUUUAGGUUUGAAUAUUAAAGUGUUCACCUAAGACUCAUUGCUGAAGACUUAGUCACCAGCUGGUAGAGCUCCUGAGGUGAAAGGGUAAUGGUAUGGGCGCCAUCUUUAUCAGGGAGUUACUCCAUGGACAAGUUCAUAGCUGAAUAGACUCAGGAGAUGGGGCCUGGUUAGAACAAGGGAGCACUGGGGAAAGGGGGAGGGGAGAGCUUUGAAGGGGCAUCUUGUCCCUGGCCCCCUGCCCCAUCUCAACUUCCUGGCUGCCAUGAGUGAGCAGCUAGGUCUUACACUCUAUUAUUAUCUAGGUCCACCUCUCCAUUACAACACUUUGCCUCAGUGCAGCAGUAAAGGUUUUCCACAUUAAAACAAACAAACAAAGACAUGGCCUUGUCAUCCCAGCACUGGAAAGACAGAGACUGGAGGGGACGGCCACCCAACCUAGCAUAAACAUUGAUUUUCUGAGGCAGAGAGAAGCCUGCUCUCCAGAGGAGGUGGUUGGGGCCUGAGAAUGACACACAAGGUUGCCCUCUUCCCUCCACACAUACACAAGAAACAAACAACAGCCAGAUCCCCAGUAUUAUUUUAGUGACACAAACUGGGCUGAGAGCCUUGCAACCCACCAAGGAUCUUGGGAUGGAAAGAUAACCCGGGUUAUCCAGGUGAACCUUCAUCACCUCAUCCUUGUCCUCCUCAGAGUGUCAGGGUAAUUCAGGGACAGGACACAGAGAUGGGGACACGAGGGAGAGUGGAAUGAAGGUACAGAAAGGCAAGGACCAGAUCCCCAGAGCCCCACCAAAGCCUAGGCUGGCACACAGCCCACCUCCAAAUGAGUACUUACUAGGCAGGCCUCUGGCACCUAGGACCAACCUAAGAAUUGUCCACUCAGCAGACUCAGUGUGAACAUGGCUUGCAGGGGUCCAGGUAUUUUGGGGUUAAUUAAAUAAAUAUUCUCAUACACAAGAUGAGGAGUAUCCGGUAUAGCUUUGUCCUUCGUAUCCUGAGGAGGCCUAGAGAGCCACAGGCUUCCAGAUCAGGCUGACCCUACCCUUCUCAGCCAGGGACAAAACCUAGAGAUUCUCUUGACAAGAAGGGAUUGACUCACCAACUGCUGUCCUCUGGGCCAUUUCCGGGUACAGGGGAUAUAGUGCCUGGGUCCACGUUUCACUUUGAGACAAGGCCUCAUUAAGCUGCCCAGGCUGGCUGUGAACUGGCACUCCUCUUGCCCCAGCCUCACAACUGACUGGAAUUGCAGACCCUGCCAUGAAGCCACCUACUGCCAUAAUUUUCAAAUCAGACAAGUGUGUGUCAAAUCAGAAGGAAAAAGAAUACAACAAGGAGUAUAUGACAGACUGACUAGACUUGUCUCUAGACCAAGCCUGUCACCAUCUGCUUUUCUCUUUAUGAAGGGGCCUGUGAGACCAAAGCACCUUCAGCCCAGAAGGCCCUACCUUCUCCCACCUUAGGGAUCCCUGAAUAGUCCGGGAACCUUCUUGGGUGAUCUGACAUGAGCUACCCAAAGCUACCCAACUCUCAAGAGCUGGCUGACCAGCCUGCAAGUUCCACUGCAUCACCCUGGUGUCAACUCAGCACAGGCAAAUAAGAAGUGUCACAGGAGAGGCAGGGCACAGAGGCAGCUCUCAGUACUCUGGAGACCUCCUAGAGGAGCAUAAGCCUCAAGGGAUAGAGUUCAUUGGGAGGUGAGAGAAAGGGGAGGUGAAGAUCAGAGAGGCUUGCGGUAUUAAAAAACAUGGUGACUAGUUGCAUCAUGACCCGGCAGGAGUCGGGACAUGAGCCUGCUGACUGAGCCGCCCAUGGGCACAUCAAGGAGCUGGAGUCUAGACAUGUCCUCCGUGUGGCAAGACCCCAGGAAGUAGGUCGAUGUGGCUAGGCAUCAGAGAAAUGCAAAUCACACCACAAAAAGAUGCCCCACUACACCUACUGGAAUGGCUGUACCAAGAGCAGGUGAUGUACUGAGGAGACCCUGAAACCCUGAGAGCAAUGAAAAACGAUGGCCUUGAUGUAAGAAACAGUGGCAGUUCCACAACUUAUAAACCACAAAAUUACCAUGGCAACCAGCAAUCCUACUCUUGGAUAUUCACUUAAAAGAAUGAAAAACAGGCCUUCGAGUAAAAGUUAAUACAAAGAAACACUAUGGUUGAGAGGAUAAACAAAUUGCGGUAUGUCCAUACAACAGAAUAUUACUUGGCCUUCAAAAGGAAUGAAGUUCUGAUUCAAACUACAACAGAUGAACCUUGACUAUUUGAUGCUGAGCAAAAGUCAGAUAUGGAAGCUUGCACAGUCUGACCUUGGGGCUCCUCCUCAACGAGAAGAGCAAGGGCAAGAAGGACAAGGCUCAAAACAGGCCCAGGCUGAGCAGGUCGAUGGUGCUAGGUCACUUGCAGUCUCUGUCCUCCAUCCCUCAGGGGGAAGGGAAAGGAACGAAACCUUUUGCUGACUAAUACAGUACAGGAAAAGAAAGAGGGAAAAAAAAUCUCUCAAGAGAAUGAAUCUUGAAACCUCCAAGUGUUUACAGAACUAAAUAUUUUAGGUACCAGAGAGAAGAGAACACAGACGAAUACACAACACCCCAAAGUGAUUCAACCCGUGCAUUAUUAAAGUUGGGAAGAAGCCCCCACUCCAUAGCUACACCCCGAAUCUGUGAAUUCGCAGCUGCAGGCCUGGGUGCUCCUGGCCACAGGUCAUCAGGGCAUUUCAACGAAUUUCUAAGGUCUCUCUUCCUACCAUGAAUGAACACCUCUUCCCUCGCCAUACUCUACUGGAUGUAGAAAAAUUACAUCACCGUUUAUAAACAGUUAACAAGUGUGACUUAGGACCUGCCAUGGGGAUUAUUAGACAGUGUGCAGAGCAGGCACACAGGAAGCUCAAGGUCAUUAAGGACGAGGGAGAAAGAAACAAACCACCCACAGCAUCCUUUGCAACAGCAUGCCAAGGGACAGCUGCACUGCAGCAUCCACUGACAGCUUUGAGGACCAUCCUUAAGUGGCCUCUCCUAAGAUAUCCUGCCGGCUCCUCACUGACCUUGAAAGGCGGGCCUGAGAGGGCUGUGGCUCCAUCCCCAAACCCGUAACUGGAUGGGGAAGGGAUAGUAUGUGGACCUCAGAAGACAGCCCUCUUCACCCUGACAGCCACAAAGCACGGGAAGCAGAAGAGCCCGGCAAAAUCUUCCCCAAAUCUGCCUCAUUGUGGAGCAUCUGUCUUCCAGGACAGCAGCCUACCUGCACAAGUGGGAGAGCACAGUUUUGUUUUGGUUUUUUUUUUUUUUAAUGUUGAAGUUUAGCUCAUUUGAGCAACAUCCUAGCCUACAUUUACUCUCAGUGUAAAAACACCUCUGAUUAAUUAAAUGGCUGCUCUCCCCGUUGACUCAAGCCUCAUUGGAAGCCUAGGCUUUUGGCUGCCACGGGGUGAUUCAUCUUGCUAUCCCUGUGUAGCAAUCUUAUGAAGCCUACUCCAUGCCCCCUGCACCAGCUGUUACCUAGCAACCAACCUAGCAACCUUGCAGCCGAGAGUUUAACCCUUCAGUGAUAACCACAGUAUAAUAUCCAAAAAGACACUUGGUUUCAAGGGUGUCCUCUGAAGUUGAGAUGGGUCAUACCUUACCAAUACAAAUAAAGGACAAAGAGGCUCCCACGUGCACACAA